AACGCUGGCGGCGCGCUUAACACAUGCAAGUCGAGCGAGAACCGGGACUUCGGUCCCGGGGAAAGCGGCGAACGGGUGAGUAACACGUGGGUAGUCUGCCCUCGAUUCUGGGAUAGCCCGGGGAAACCCGGAUUAAUACCGGAUAGCCUUUCGAGCCUUCGGGCGCGGAAGAAAAGGUAGCUUCGGCCUCCGAUCGAGGAUGAGCCCGCGGUGGAUUAGCUUGUUGGUGGGGUAAUGGCUCACCAAGGCGACGAUCCAUAGCUGGUCUGAGAGGACGAUCGGCCACACUGGGACUGAGACACGGACCAGACUCCUACGGGAGGCAGCAGUGGGGAGUCUGGCGCAAUGGGCGAAAGCCUGACGCAGCGACGCCGCGUGAGGGAAGAAGGCCUUAGGGUUGUAAACCUCUUUCAGGCGGGACGAAGCCACUCGGGUGAAUAGCCCAGAGGGUGACGGUACCGCCAGAAGAAGCCCCGGCUAACUACGUGCCAGCCGCCGCCGUAA
rnacentral:rRNA from 1 species